UAUCAUAAUAUAUUGAGAGGCCGUCCAUCGAAGUCAUUUGGCUUCUGAGAGAUCCAUAAGAAGUGUUCUAUUUGUUAAGUACUAGACAAUAGGAUCCAUCCAGCUUGGUUCAACAGUGAGCUAUAAUACCUCCUCAACCUUGUCGAUACUCGACUGUUCAAGACAUUCAACGAAUGUUCGAUCCAGCGAGUUGAAAGAAGUAGUUGCA
rnacentral:lncRNA from 1 species